rnacentral:rRNA from 1 species
UACGUAGGAGGCAAGCGUUGUCCGGAGUUACUGGGCGUAAAGCGCACGCAGGCGGUCGCAUUAGUCUGGGGUGACAGUUCCCGGCUUAACCGGAAAAGGACUCUGGAAACUGUGCGACUUGAGGGCUUCAGAGGGAUGUGGAAUUCCUGGUGUAGCGGUGGAAUGCGCAGAUAUCAGGAGGAACACCGAUGGCGAAGGCAGUUCUCUGGGCCGUAACUGACGCUGAGGAGCGAAAGCGUGGGUAGCAAACAGG